rnacentral:rRNA from 1 species
AUUGAACGCUGGCGGCAUGCCUUACACAUGCAAGUCGAACGGUAACAGGUCUUCGGAUGCUGACGAGUGGCGAACGGGUGAGUAAUACAUCGGAACGUGCCUAGUAGUGGGGGAUAACUACUCGAAAGAGUGGCUAAUACCGCAUGAGAUCUACGGAUGAAAGCAGGGGAUCGCAAGACCUGGCGCUACUAGAGCGGCCGAUGGCAGAUUAGGUAGUUGGUGGGAUAAAAGCUUACCAAGCCGACGAUCUGUAGCUGGUCUGAGAGGACGAUCAGCCACACUGGGACUGAGACACGGCCCAGACUCCUACGGGAGGCAGCAGUGGGGAAUUUUGGACAAUGGGCGAAAGCCUGAUCCAGCAAUGCCGCGUGCAGGAUGAAGGCCUUCGGGUUGUAAACUGCUUUUGUACGGAACGAAAAGCCCCGGGUUAAUACCCUGGGGUCAUGACGGUACCGUAAGAAUAAGCACCGGCUAACUACGUGCCAGCCGCCGCGGUAA